CAGCCGCCGCGGUAAUACGUAGGUGGCAAGCGUUGUCCGGAAUUAUUGGGCGUAAAGGGCUCGCAGGCGGUUUCUUAAGUCUGAUGUGAAAGCCCCCGGCUCAACCGGGGAGGGUCAUUGGAAACUGGGAAACUUGAGUGCAGAAGAGGAGAGUGGAAUUCCACGUGUAGCGGUGAAAUGCGUAGAGAUGUGGAGGAACACCAGUGGUGAAGGCGACUCUCUGGUCUGUAACUGACGCUGAGGAGCGAAAGCGUGGGGAGCGAACAGGAUUAGAGACCCCAGUAGUCCCUGUCUCUUAUAC
rnacentral:rRNA from 1 species